AUACUUUGUAUUUCAUAAUUAUGAUUUUUGGGUUUUCAUUCUCACAUAUGAGAUGUGCCUCUCUAAAACCUUUUACAUCAUUAGCAUAUAACCCCAUCUGAUG
ensembl:snoRNA